rnacentral:rRNA from 1 species
GAUGAACGCUAGCUACAGGCUUAACACAUGCAAGUCGAGGGACCGGCGCACGGGUGAGUAACACGUAUCUAACCUGCCCUUUACCCGGGGAUAGCCUUUCGAAAGAAAGAUUAAUACUCGCUAUAUAGGAUGGGGUUGCGUUCCUUUAGUUUGUGGGUGAGGUAACGGCCCACCAAGCCUUCUAUGGAUAGGGGGUCUGAGAGGAAGGUCCACCACAGUGGAAGUGAGACACGGUCCAAACUCCUACGAGAGGCAGCAGUGAGAGAUAUUGGUCAAUGGGCGUUGGCCUGAACCAGCCAAGUAGCGUGAAGGAUGAAGGCUUAUGGGUGGUAAAAUUCUUUUAGAUAAGAAUAUGUAUUAUAUGAAUAAGGAUCGGCUAACUCCGUGCCAGCAGCCGCGGUAAUUC